rnacentral:misc_RNA from 1 species
AAGACUAUAGACCUGCGGAGUACCUGCGGAAGGAUCAUUACAGAGUUAUCAAACUCCUAAACCCUUUGUUAAUUUACCUAUUGUUUCUUCGGCAGGUGGGCCCUGGGAGGGUCCUGUAGCCUGUUAGGUACCUGCCGAAGGCCACAACUCGGUUUAUAUUAUGUGUCUAAGUCCUACUAUAAUAAGUCAAAACUUUCAACAAUGGAUCUCU